rnacentral:lncRNA from 1 species
CUUUCAGGGCUUCUGGUGACUCAAGCAAGUGCAGAACUUCAGUCUGGUCCAUCUCCAGAAGCAUUCCAGUAACUUUAGCAGCAUUGUCGGGCUCCAACUGUUCCACAAGUGGGUAAAGAUUCUCACCCAGCAUCUGCAAAUAUACAACCAACAAACAGUGGUUAGUUAAGGAUGCUAAAAUGUGUAAUGAGUAGAGCUCGGGAUAAAACUAAGAUUUAUUAGCCUAGUAAACACUAUAUGAAGUAACAUCUAGUUUUUACCUCCCCCAGACCUAAACCUAAAUCCCCAAAAUAUAUCAGUUCCCCGCCCUAAUCCCCCAUUGGGAUGUAGAAAUAAAACUCAAACUCAUCCCAAACAGGUUCAGUAUCCCCCGGCCCUCCACUAUUCACACAGUGAAAUCAAUUUUUUUAAUAUAAACAUUUCAUCUUCCCAGCAUCAUAUUACAUUACAAAUAGUAAAAAAUACAAUCUCAAAAAUUUCCAUACAUACAUUUCAAAUAAUAAUAAUAAUAAUGUACAAACCAAAUUAUAAAAAAAUUGAUCAUAUAUUUAAUAUUCCAAAUUAUCAAAACUAAAUAAUAAAGUAUAUAAUGAAAUAAAUGGGACAGGUUAGGGUGGGUACCAGUGUCUCCAUUACCCAACCUGUCCCCAUAUUUUGUAAUCAGAGAAAAACUAAACUCAGUCAAAGUGGGUUUCCCCGUCAAACUCAGGGCAGGUUUGGGUGGGUCUCGACAGUACGUGUUAUGUUGCCAUGUCUAGUGACAAGCUGUUAGUAGUCCAAUGGGUUCACUUAUGUGAGUAGGAGUGUGUAUCUAAAUAGAAUAAGGAUGAAAGAAAUGUCAUUGGAUAAUUUUUCUUAUUGGUUCAACAAGGGAGAUACUAGGAUCACUAAUUUCCAGAGGCUGGGUGUUUCACGGUUUCUGUAUUGUUACAGCAGUUACCAAUAUUAGCAUAGUUUCUGUUUUUAUGUUUACUUUUGUAACUGUCCCUUCGGAAGUUAUUUAUUACCAAUUGCAGAUUCUGUUUUAAUGUUUUGUUAUUGUAACUGUCCCAUGGGAAGUUAAUACCAACUGUAACAUCUAUUAUCCAUCAAUAUCAGGUAUUCCCUCUGUCCCAUAUUAUAAGCAAAUUUCACCUUUUUAGAUUCAUUAAAUAAUUAAUGUAUCUAGUCUAUAUAUAGAUUAGAUACAUUAGUUAUUUAAUGAAUCUAGAAAGGUGAAAUUCGCUUAUAAUAUGGGACGGAGGGAGUAUAUUCCAUACAUGCUGCAGUAGAAAUUCAGAUAUCUAACAAAAGCUUACCGUCCUCUGCUGCUCUGGAGAUGCAUUAGCCAGAUGAGAAGCCAAAGCACCAAUGGGAAUUUGUUGUGAAAGUGAUGCAUCACGAAGGGGCAUCCCACCCACAUCAUAAGGAACAGAAUACAUGCCUCCAGCAACUCCAGGCAUGGGACCAUCAGGCAUGCCCCUACCAGAAGGAUAGCGAUACACACGCCCCCUAGGAAGCA